GAAAAGUUAGUUUACCUAAAAUACUAACUUGUCAAGUUAGAGACGUUCAUAAAUACACUUUUUA
rnacentral:tRNA from 1 species